CCCCAGGGGCACAGCAGAGCCUGCCAGAGCCUCUGCCAGGGCCCACCUUUGGUGCUUUCUGGGAUGCUGAGUGCUAAUUACACUGCACAUUCCUCCCCGCUGAGAGCACCUGACAGGUCUUGGGGACAAAGCACGUGCUUCAGUGCUGCAGCUGGAGACACAAAUGGUUCCUUGCCCAGCGAGCACUGGGCAGUAGCACAAGGGAAAUCGUAGAGGAGGCCCCAUGACGGUCUUUGUUGCAUGGACACCCACACUCCCAGCCUGAGAAAGAUGCUUUGUGGUGCUUUAGACCAGAGCCCAGAGACCCCAGUGCCAAGGCGAGUGGUGAGGGCCAAGCAGAAGGGAGCGGUGACUGUAAUGCCCUGGGCAGCUCUGUGUGGGAGAGCAGAGCUAUCCUCCCUGCACAGCCUGGGCAGAUCCUCUUCCCCUGCUGUCCCUGUGCCAGCGCCCUCCUUGUCCCCAGCUACAGCAUCACCACUUCCCACAGGUUUGCUGUGAGAUACUGAUUUCCCCUUUUCAGGCAGAGGACCAAGCAGGACAUUCACUGGGGUCAGCCUGGGCCCCCAGCUAAUUGAAUCUUGUUUUGAUGACUGUGGGGCAGCUUUUCACCAUGGAGUGUGGCUGUGAGGCAUCUUCUCCCCUGCAGUCCCUGAGAUGCGCACCAAGCCCUUUCUUUUCUGGCCACCCAAACCGCUACUCUACCAUGUAAAUUUAACCACUUACACUAAGUGCCUUACAGAAAGUUAGAGCCAGCCUCUCCAUUCCCCAAACCUUCAGAGACUGAGGAGAGGAUCUCCACGCACAGAUCUUCUGAAGGCAGGAGCUGAAGGAUGGGUCUCCACCACCCUUUUUUUCCUCUUUCUUCAGCUGCUGUUUGUGAAGGCUAUGGCUGGCCAAGGACAUCCCAUGGACAGCCAGGAAGCAGCACCAGAGCAAUCACCACUCUGCUUUCCUGUGAUGCAGAAGGAAACCAGGGCUAUGAACUGAAGCUUGGUCUGAAUUGCCUGGGUAGUUGCUUCUUUUGAGCCAAGGAAUUGAGCACAAUUGCAAAGUAUUUCUACUAGGAAGAAAGGCUAAGAGGACACCAAAGCUCAAAGGUGUGCCAUUAUGUGACUUCUUGCACAAAUAGGGAGGAGUCAGAUCCCUGAGUGUUGGCACCACCAUUUUUACUUUGUGAAGAGCCUGUGGAAGUUUUAAGUGGAGAAACAGAGAGUUGGGUUGCUACCGCCAGGUUCAAAUAUUUAAGUAUCAUGACCCAGAUUCCCCCAAGUCCAAACAAAUUUUUCUUUAAAUAGCAAAGUGUUCUCUUGACUUAGGCUGUUAUUUGGAUGGUAUUUCCUCUGCAAGCACAAAGACAAAAAAUUUACUUUUUGUAAAAAGCAAGAUCCUCAUCUCAGAUCUUCAGAAUCCACAUUAAAGCUCCCAAGGUGACUAAAAACAUCACAGACAUAGUGCUAAAUGAACCUGUCUCCAAAUGCUGCUUUGUUUUCCAAGCUCAUUGACUUGGUACCUGGCCUUCUUUUCUUCUCUUUUCUUCAGCGCUUUUUUCACAUUUCACAUACAGGGGGGGAAACAGUGUUUUAGAGGCCAGCAUGAUAACAUUCUCGCAAAUGGGUCCAGAGUCUCUUUUUCCUCUUUGAAAUGCUUUAGAUUAUGAGAUAUUUUCAAGUUUAAAAACUGCCAGAGAAGGAAAUUUCUUCAGAAGUGUCCUUUGAGUCAGAGAUAAAAGUGGUGCCCAGCAGGUAUAGGCCAGCAAUAGUCAAAGAUGAACUCCCAGCAGAAGCUAUGAAGUUCACUCCCUCUAGUUCUGCUACUGUAUAAGACUACAUCAUUCUUUAUUUCUAACCUUUUCUUUCCUAUCCACUGGCUGUACCAAUAAAUGUGUAAAAAAAUCUGCCUGUGAAUCUGCGUUCUCAGCCUCAUUAUCCUGCUGUUUAUGGUGUUUUUCCUGAGGACAGGGAGGACAUCAGACUACAAGCCACUUCAUGCAGUGACCCAAGCUCCAUCAAGGGGUGACACAUCUGGACAACUCUGCAGAAGGUGAAGCAUACCCCAGAGCUGUGGGAACAGACACCAACUUCAACCUCAGGAAGUCAGUAUUCAAUUUCCAUGUUUAACAAUGAUCUUUUGAGAAAUCAGUGAGCUUUUAACAUCUUCUGCCCUGGUAAAUCUGAGGGCUUGUGAAAAUUCAUUGAUUCUCUGGAAUUAUACAUUUGGAUGCAAUGCUAUGAAUGCAGGAAAUGUUAAGAUCCUUUUACAAAAGAGAAAAAAUUUACCUGGGAAGGCAGAGUAAGAGCAUCCAUAACAGGAGAGAUGCUGGUAGUGAGAGGACUGAGGAGUGCUUCUGAGAAACUUCCUUUUGUCUCCUGUAAAUCUAUUUUACCAUUUCAGCCCAUAUUCCUCAUUUGCCCUCACCUCAUGCUGCACAUGUUUAAUUUAAACCGGAGACAAGCCAAGGACAGAAACAUGAACUCUGUGUCCAUGACUCUCUCAUGCCAUCUCCAGCUUCCCCAAGAAAGCCAAAUAUGCAGAGGAGAGUGAUACAGAGACACCUGUUCUGGCAGAGCAAAUUAAAAUGUUGAUGCUAUAACAUAAAAUCAAUGUUGCACAUUAAAGGGUCCUUUAAUGGGCAUCAGGGAGGAAAUUACAUUCUUGUCUGGCUAGAUAAAUUAACUUUCUGAUAAUAAUAUUUGGAUAUUAUUAUUCCUAAUCCAUUUUGAAUUCCCAGCCCUUUAAGGUUGUUGAGGAGCAAUAAGCUGUUUCUUACUCCAGAAACAUUUACAAAGGGGGCUGCUAUAAUACCUGGAAAACUUGAGUUUGGAAGAUCAAAUGACUAUUCAUAGCAAAUUACCAGAGCUGUGACAGACUGAGUCUCCUGGCUCAGCUCCUGGGUCUCAUCUAUCAGUAGAGUUGCUCAGACCAUGGCAGUUUCAUUGUGUUAUUUGAGAACCUGUAAUGAAAUACCUUAUUUCCAUGCUUUCUAAGUAACCUGUACUCCAUGCACCCCCCCUGUGCCAGUAUUGCAGGCAGAAACCAAAGAAGCCUGUGCUGACUCCUGCCUACCCAAACAGCAAACAACAUCCAUGCAUGCAAAAUGCCUUAAAUACACUUCUUCUGAGUUAACUAAAUGUUGCUGAUGUUCUCUGAUAAAUAAAAGCCCUAUAAACUGUUCCCAGUAGUGAGCAGAGAGAAGUGCAUCUGAAGCCAACUACUUUACACUGAAGUUUUAU